rnacentral:rRNA from 1 species
AGAGUUUGAUCCUGGCUCAGGAUGAACGCUGGCGGCGUGCCUAAUACAUGCGAGUCGAGCGAACAGAUAAGGAGCUUGCUCCUUUGACGUUAGCGGCGGACGGGUGAGUAACACGUGGGUAACCUACCUAUAAGACUGGGAUAACUUCGGGGAACCGGAGCUAAUACCGGAUAACAUUUGGAACCGCAUGGUUCUAAAGUGAAAGAUGGUUUUGCUAUCACUUAUAGAUGGACCCGCGCCGUAUUAGCUAGUUGGUAAGGUAACGGCUUACCAAGGCGACGAUACGUAGCCGACCUGAGAGGGUGAUCGGCCACACUGGAACUGAGACACGGUCCAGACUCCUACGGGAGGCAGCAGUAGGGAAUCUUCCGCAAUGGGCGAAAGCCUGACGGAGCAACGCCGCGUGAGUGAUGAAGGGUUUCGGCUCGUAAAACUCUGUUAUUAGGGAAGAACAAAUGUGUAAGUAACUGUGCACGUCUUGACGGUACCUAAUCAGAAAGCCACGGCUAACUACGUGCCAGCAGCCGCGGUAAUACGUAGGUGGCAAGCGUUAUCCGGAAUUAUUGGGCGUAAAGCGCGCGUAGGCGGUUUCUUAAGUCUGAUGUGAAAGCCCACGGCUCAACCGUGGAGGGUCAUUGGAAACUGGGAAACUUGAGUGCAGAAGAGGAAAGUGGAAUUCCAUGUGUAGCGGUGAAAUGCGCAGAGAUAUGGAGGAGCACCAGUGGCGAAGGCGACUUUCUGGUCUGUAACUGACGCUGAUGUGCGAAAGCGUGGGGAUCAAACAGGAUUAGAUACCCUGGUAGUCC